rnacentral:rRNA from 1 species
AACGAACGCUGGCGGCAGGCUUAACACAUGCAAGUCGAGCGCCCCGCAAGGGGAGCGGCAGACGGGUGAGUAACGCGUGGGAAUCUACCGUGCCCUACGGAAUAGCUCCGGGAAACUGGAAUUAAUACCGUAUACGCCCUACGGGGGAAAGAUUUAUCGGGGUAUAAUGAGCCCGCGUUGGAUUAGCUAGUUGGUGGGGUAAAGGCCUACCAAGGCGACGAUCCAUAGCUGGUCUGAGAGGAUGAUCAGCCACAUUGGGAAUGAGACACGGCCCAAACUCCUACGGGAGGCAGCAGUGGGGAAUAUUGGACAAUGGGCGCAAGCCUGAUCCAGCCAUGCCGCGUGAGUGAUGAAGGUCUUAGGAUUGUAAAGCUCUUUCACCGAUGAAGAUAAUGACGGUAGUCGGAGAAGAAGCCCCGGCUAACUUCGUGCCAGCCGCCGCGGUAAUAC